AAAGGAACCGUUCUUACACUUCAUUAACGGCGAAUAAAUUGAAUGAAUUUUACAGUUAGUAGCACAAAAUUUGUACGUAUGUACAUACGUGUAUAUACAUAAUACAUAAUACUUAAUUUAGGUGUUUUCUUUAACGUUGUAUAUACAUAUCUGUGAAUUUAUGUACUAUAUUUGUGUAGGUGAAGAAAAGUUGGCAGCAGCUAAUUGGCUGACUGGUCCAGUAUAUUCAGUUAGAUUAACCGAUUUAAAAUAGUUUUAUCUUAUCCAUACAUGCACAUAUACUAUGUAUGUAUGUAUUUAUGUAUACCUACAUAUGCUUUAUUAUGUUUGAAUGGCCGCUUAUACAGCUCGUAUAUGCCUAUUUAAAGUGUCUUCAUAUAAACACGAAAAUUCAAACCUAUGUUUAAUAUAGUAGGCCAUUGGCCUUUAUAAAAACCUAUGGAUGGAACUAAAGGAGUUUUACAUGCUGACCUAACGUUGAUAGGUAUAUUAAAACACUGAUACAGUAAUGCGUUUGCGCGGAUUUCCUUUUUGCUUGGAUGUCUGUAGGAAUCGGGGAGAUUGGCAAGAACACUGAGUUAUUGACAUUAACAGCACCCGUAGCCGCUAAAUGUUUCAUUGUCUGUUCGGCUACGACGGCAAUCGGUUGAUUUGAAAAUAUCGAACGGAAAAUCAAUUACUAUAAAUACUUACGUACUUAAAUACAUAUGUAUGUAUGUACGUUUGUAGAUGGAAUUAUAAAGAAAUAGUGCAACCGCUACUCCAGUAAUUUACGUUGAUUUUGUACAAACGAAUUGAUCGAAUCGAUUGGACUGCAAUAAAUACAAUACGGUUUAAGUUUGAAAAAAGUGUGUGGUAAUAUACACAGGCGAUCCGAAUAUUUUGGUAAUUAACUGCUUCUGUAUAUAUAAGGAUAUUAACUACUUUUCUGUAGUAAAACGAAGUCACUUGAUGGAAAAAGAUAUUAUGGAUAACAGCCGAAUUAUGGAAACGAGUGAGCACGAAUUGAGUGAUAUUAUUGAGAUCAUAUCGCCCGAAUUGGAUGAUAUUUCAACUUCUUCGAAACCUUACCUUCGUGUUGUAGAACAGCCUUCGAGAAAACCGAUGAGGUUUCGGUACAACAGUGAAGGUCGUACAGCCGGAAAUAUACCUGGUGAGAAUUCAUUUCAGGAAACCAAAACAUUUCCUACUGUCGAAGUCGUAGGCUACGAAGGAAAGGCACGGAUUCUGGUCUCUUGUGUGACAAAGGAUAAGCCUUUUCGACAACAUCCACAUCAGUUGGUAGGUCAGGAUUGUAAACAUGGUUAUUGUAUAAGAUAUGUUGGACCCGAUACCCCACUACGUGUCGAACUCAGUAAUAUUGGAAUACGAUGUGUAAAGAAAAAAGAAAUUUCGGAGUCUUUAGAGAUGCGAAAAAGUAGGAAAAUUGACCCUUUCAAGACUGGGUUUGAUCAUAUAUCUGAUCCGAAUUCAAUUGAAUUGAAUUCAUUACGUUUGUGCUUUCAAGGCUUCAUAAAAGUUGGGAACGGUUGGAAAGCGCUGAGCCCAGUGGUGUCGGAACCUCUCUAUGACCGAAAAGCGAAAAGUGAAUUACUCAUUAGUCGACUUUGUAGCUGCGCAGCCACUAUUGAUGGAGGAGAUGAAAUAAUUUUGCUGUGUUCGCAAGUUAAUAAAGAUGAUGUGAGGAUUCGCUUCAAAGCGAUUGAUAACAAUCGCGAAGUUUGGCAUGCAUACGCCGAUUUUGAACCGUCCAAUGUACAUAAACAGACAGCAAUUGCAUUUCGUACACCACGUUAUCCUCAGGCGGAUUUGCCAAAAACUGCUAAGACAUACAUUGAGUUGGAAAGACCUAGUUUGGAUAAACGGAGUGACGCUUUGGAGUUCGUGUUUCAUGAUCCAGGUACGCUAUCCUUUGCCAGCAUGCGUCGCAAACUUAAGCGAAAGCAAGAAGUGGAUAUAUUUCAACAUAUAUUGUCCAUGGAUAGUGAAACGACUGCAACAAAAUACUCUUGCCCCCCUUCUGAUAUUGAUUUCGAUUUGGAUGAUAAUGCUACAUUAUCAACAGAACGCACCGAGGGUACCGUUAGCAAGCAACAUAGUUUAGAUACACUUAAUGAAACUGAAAGUAUAGCUAUAGCUCGGCGCAAAAGAGAAAGUAUUACCGACGGUGACGGAGAUAUUGAAUUUGAUAGACCUAAUGAUAUUGAAUACGACUUCGAAGCACCAACCAUGAAGUGUCAGGCUGUGGAUGCAGACACUCAAACAUCGACACCAAUGGAUGAGAUACUUAAGCAUCCAUCACUAAUUGAAUCGCAUUCACUAUCCGCAGUCGAUAAAAUCACUGAAUGGAUGCACUCUAAUGAGUUCGAACGAACCGACAGCUUGACAGUUGAGAACGGUGAUACAACUUCAAUCAGUCCAAUAACAGUAUAUACUAACAUGGCAAGUUUAUCAAAUAACCACACGACCAUAUCGACUGCUACUGACGACGACAAAACCAUUACUGAUCAAAUGGAUCAAGUGCCCGAACUCGAUGAUAUGGUUACAGAAACAAAAUCUCGACGGGGCACAUUUGACAGCCCUAUGAUACAGAACUUGUCGUUAGGUGGGUCACCGAUUUUCGACAAUAAAUCCAUUGAAACAAUGGUGGAGGUAGUCAACACAAGAGGGGAAGAGAAUUUUGAUGAGGCCCCCACAUAUAAAAAUUUACAAAAUACUCUAAAAAAUCCAUUUUCUAUUGAUUAUUUAGAAACAAAAACGAUUGGUGGAGCUACCAAUGACGAACUAGACUUGGUGGUAUUGAAAAAUCCCCUCGCACCAAAAAUACGGGUAAAUGUUGCCCAAACGCCUCCAUCACCAUCUUCUCCCCCACUACCCUUACCACCUCGUACACCCUCUCCCGGUCCAGAACAAAGCCUUCCUCCAAUUCCACCGAAAAGAAAAACUUCACAAGAAUUUGGUACAAACUCAUCGGUCACACACAGUUCCUUGGAACUUUCUCGCACAAGUAGUGUUUCCUCACGACAACCGUCACAAAUAAUCAUUAAGCGAACUCCUGAUCAAAGUCCAACUAAACGACAAACUGCACCCACUUCAUCACCAAAGAAACGUCAAGGUUUUUUCUCUCGACUUUUUUCACGACGCAAAAGUAAAACUGAAAUAAUUAGUAGCGAUAAAUCCAUAAAAAAUCAAUUAACCAAAGUAACAACACUUUCUGAUAGUAGGGAACCUAGUAUUGGAAACUUUUCCAUCGGUGAACCGAAUCGGUGCUCCCUACGCUCGAUUAAGUCUGCGACGCAACAAGUGAAUUCCAACUAUUUAGAUUCCCACAACAACGUUGCUGAACGAAAUGAGAGCAAUAGAAAUGGUAAACCGGUUGGUCGAAGUGUAAGUAGUAUUUCUGGCAAGAGACCGGCAUAUUUAAAUACAGACGUAGUUCACAUCCCUCUAAAAGGUGAAAACGCUAAGAGUUUACCCUCUCACGAAGGUAAGGCUUUCACUUUUGGUCAGUAUUUGGACCGCAGAACUCUUAGUGCUCUUCAAUUAGCUGAAAUACCAAUUUGUGAUGGGAAGAUGGAACUAGUAGCUAUUGCUGAUAGACAAAGCAUAAAAAAUCUAUGCGAAGGUGAAUUCGGUGUCACGCUCGAUCCGGAGGUAGACUUACAAGAGGCCGAACACUUUGCACUAUAUACGAGUAUACCACCGGAGCGUCAAAUCACUGCAAAAAAUUCCGAUACUGAGUUGCAGGUCUGUACGUCUAUGGACGACGUACAAGCCGUAACAGCUGACGAAAUAGCCAAACGACUGAAUGAAGCAAAUAGAAUGCCAAUUUUUUAAUAUUUGUGCAAUAUUUUUCAAUCUAGGGAAUUGCAAUGCAAAAAUUACAUAUGUAUAAGUAUAUAUGUAUGUAUAUAUUUUCAAGAUCUGAAAAGAUUCAUAUUUAAAACCACAUAAAUAUUCGAGAUGUCUCAUAUAUUUCCAUUAUAGAUCGUUAUAAAAGAGAAAGAAAACGUCGGAAGAUUAGUGGAGAAAGUCUCAUAAAUCAGAUGAACAAAGAUAUGGGCUUAAACUUAAAUUAUCAAAGCAUUUCAAUGAAUAAUACUUUCAACUUGCCUGUCACCACAGUCACACAUAACUACCAAAUGCCACCACGAUCACAGUUAUCGCCAAUACCACCACAAAAUUGUAAUACAACACCGUCGCCUUCACCCAAAUGUGCUUAUACAAAUCAACUAAGCACAUUAAUGCAGGAUACCGCAAUUCAGGCAGCAAAUUGUCAAAGGCUUCAUGACCUAUUUAAUGAUCGAAAAAACCAAAAACUUGACUACAACACUAGAGACAACAUUAACACCAAUUACCAACAUUAUUUUGGUACUGUACGUAACACUACCAGCGGCGGUUACUUUGAACGUAUUAAAGAAAAAAUUGAAAUGGAUAACAAAAAUGACAUAUGUGCAAUGAAUAAUACUUUGAAUUUACCUUUAACCUCAACAACACAACCACAUAUAGACAUCAAAGAUGAGCCAAUAGGCGCUGCAAUGCCAAUAAAGUUUACAGCAGUUGAGCAACAUUUGGAUCCAUACAGAUGCAACUACCUAAUGUCACCGCAGUCACAGUUAUCGCCAAUGUCACCACAAAAUCGUAAUGCAACACCGUCGCCUAUCUCACCUUCCACCAACGGUGCUUAUACAGACCAACUAUGCACACUAAUGCAAGAUAGCACAAUUCAGGCAGGAAAUUGCCAAACGCUUGAUGACAUAUUUAAUGAUCAGGAAAACCAAGAAUUUGACUACGUCACCAAAGACAACAUUAACGUCUACAAUGACAACACAAAUUACCAAAUUACGAACGGACAUUAUUUUGGUACUGUACGUAACACUACCAGUGGUGGUUGCUUUGAACGUAUUAAUAAUACCCCAGUAGUAUGUACCCCUGUGACACAUAAUAUUCAGGCUACAGAGCAACGGCUUCAAAAUCCUACUUCAGAUAAGGAAGAGAUUGAAAGAAUUAUAUUGGAUCUCAUGCAAACGCCUAUAACGCAUUCGCCUGCUCAACUAACUGAUCCCAAGCAAAAUAAUUGCCAAGAUAACGCAAAUAUCGAUUUUUUUAAAUAAAUAUCACAAAUAUAAUGAGAAAUUAAUAUUUGCUCAAGGAGUAAAUCUUACUUUGAAAAUCUUUCUCUACUGUUUUACACUGUUGACCGGUUAGAAUUAGUCAUUUUCUAAUGAAUAUAAGUAUGUACAUUUAUAUAUUUUUAUUUAUGUAUAUAUUUCGAACAAUACACUUAAUUAUACUUUAGAACUUAACUGAAUAAAAACAAACAUACAUGUAUUUUAUUAAGUAUAGACAACACCUCUGUAAUUAAUGUGCAUAUUAGGUGUUUGGCUUCCAACGUGUAGAUGAUACCGUAAGACAAUAAUAAAACAAAAUAAAUGUGAAUAAAAGGAUUUAUUUGUAUAUAUGUUUGUACAAAUACUCAACAUUUUCAUGAUCAGAAUUAUAUUGAUUUAAUUAACCUUUUUAAA
rnacentral:misc_RNA from 1 species